rnacentral:tRNA from 1 species
GCCAACAUAGCUCAGUCGGUAGAGCAAUUCACUCGUAAUGAAUAGGUCAUCGGUUCGAUUCCGAUUGUUGGCUCCA